rnacentral:tRNA from 1 species
GCCUGGGUGGCUCAGUCAGUUGAGCGUCCGACUUCAGCUCAGGUCCUGAUCUCACAGUUUGUGAGUUCGAGCCCCACGUCAGGCU